AAGGAUGACACCCUCGAUUAAGGUUCGAUUCGAGCGUAAGCGAGAAAGCGUUGCCGCAGGCAACGACCCGAAGGGCGAAGCGCGCAGCGCUGAGUCAUCCUUCCCCCACCACCA
rnacentral:sRNA from 1 species